UUCCAUAUCAGUUUUUGCCUAACAUAAGAGACACGCCUCUUGGUUUGAGACUGUUAUCUCACAGAAUCUACCAAAAAAAUUCAAGAAGAUACUGUUUGAACAAUACAUGAGAAGGUAGCUUUCCGUAUACGCCCUGAGGCUUUACCGACGCCACUAUUCAGUUGUAUAAAUUAUUACAAUUAUUCUGAUUACAUAACACGCCUAUCAGCAAAUUCAUAACCUUUUGCGAUGUUUUCGGUAGGACGUCAAAUGCCUUCAUCCGCACAACGAUGAUAGUGAUACUCUCUGGAAAACAAACAUUAUUUGCAGAACGAAAGAAAAGAAGUGAGAAGCAGCGACAGUUUGAAUUUUCAAAGAAAAGAUACAUGCGUUUCGAAUUGCUAAGCGAAAGGGUUUCAACAGUUGCGUCCGAACCUUUUUUAAACCACAAAACCAUUAUGAACGAACCAAACAAUAUGUUGGUUUUAACUGCUUCUCCCACAAUUAUCUCCAUAACAACAAUCCCAAAACUAUAGACAUGACAACUUUCGUUCAACGUGCCUGUACAUUUCUGCCUAUUCACCGUAACAGAUCUUGGGAAUGGUUGAAUAGAAGUAGAAUCGAUGUUUGGGUUAUAAAAACUAUUCAUAACUAGCUUGAUAAAAUGUGUAAUCCGUAUUUCAAUCUGCUUGGUAAGAGUUUAGUUUUUGACAAGUUGAGAAAAAGUACUUUAAUGAGCGGUAUUUUGAUAACAUCAAGAUGAAGAGAUGUUUCCUUGCAAACAUAAGCCAACAAUUAUUGAGGCUUUCGUCAAUGAAAUUCCAACCGAAUAGGUUAUAGCCUUUUCCGUUCUCUUCUUUUUCUUUUAUUUUUAAGUUAUGGGAUCGUUUCUCACUGUUUUUGAUGAUUAGGUUGAUUAAAUUGGAGUUGUAAUGAUACUGGUGAUCAUGUAGCAUUUGGAUGGAUUACACUGUAACGAUGCUUUUAUGGAGAGUAACUGCGUGUGGACAAGGGAACAAAUUAUUUUCUUUAAGCUCAUACUUACCCAAAUAUUCAGUGGGAAUUAGUGGGAUGAGGUACUUUGGUAUAUUAUCAAGUCGUUUAAUCAACAUUUUAAGAUAAGUCGUGACAAUAGUUCUCAAUGUUGGUUGGGAGAUGGUAUGACAGUGAUCAUUGUUGUUGGCAGUCAAAGAUGGUCUUGCUGGAGAGACCGCAGUGGUGAAAAAGAAAAUAAUUAGGUGGAUUUCUAUAGAACCAAUGCGAUGAAGAACGAAGUAAUAUGUAACUUAUUACAUACAGAUAUUAGUUUGGAACAGCUCUCACGGAAUUUUAAUGACACGUCGUUAUUUUCUGAGUUUAAGACUUGAAGUCUUCUUCUUCCACGUGAAUUGAUGCUUUGAUUUCACAUCUACAUCAAUAUUUACUUUAUAGGUCGGAGACUUAUGACGAACAAUCAAACCGCAGGCAAUGUAAAAUUCUCUCUUGCAUACAAAAUGUUUCAAUGACAUAAAUUCUUUAGACUAAUUUUUUUAUUUUCUUUUUGAAGGUAACAUUUUAAUUAAGAAAGUGGUCAUUUUUUUCGUGUAUGCAAGUGUUGGUUGACUAAGAAUUGUACUUAGAAUACGAUCCGUUUUUAUAACAUUAUUGUACUAAGUAUUCGAUCAUAUGAAUUAAGCAAGUGUGCAUCUUUUUGUGGCUUGGAA